rnacentral:rRNA from 1 species
UACGAAGGGGGCUAGCGUUGCUCGGAAUCACUGGGCGUAAAGCGCACGUAGGCGGUGUUCCAUGUCAGAGGUGAAAGCCUGGGGCUCAACUCCAGAAUUGCCUUUGAAACGGGGACGCUUGAGUCCGAGAGAGGGUGGCGGAAUUCCUAGUGUAGAGGUGAAAUUCGUAGAUAUUAGGAAGAACACCAGUGGCGAAGGCGGCCACCUGGCUCGGUACUGACGCUCAGGUUCGAAAGCGUGGGGAGCAAACAGG